GGGCCCUUAGCUCAGCUGGUUAGAGCAGAGGACUCAUAAUCCUUUGGUCCACGGUUCAAGUCCGUGAGGGCCCACCA
rnacentral:tRNA from 4 species